rnacentral:rRNA from 1 species
UUAACUAGGACUAGAUACCCUAUUAUUAAAAAUUAUUAUUAAAUACUAAAAUAGUAAAUAUAAAAUAUUGAAACUUAAAUAAUAUGGCGGUAUUUUAGUUUAUUUAGAGGAAUCUGUUUUAUAAUUGAUAAUACACGAAUAAAUUUACUUAAUUAAAAAUUUUAUAUAUCGUUGUUAAAAAAAUAUUUUAAAAUAAAAAUAAUAUUUAAAAAUUAGAAUGAAAAUUAAUUCAAAUCAAGAUGUAGAUUAUAAUUAAGAAAAUAUGGGUUACAAUAAAUUAAUUUAAAUGGAUAAUGAAUUGAAAAAUGAUUUUAAAUUUGGAUUUAAAUGUAAUUUUAAUUAAUUUAUCAAAUUGUGAUAUAUAAUAG